rnacentral:rRNA from 1 species
CCCGGUGUCGAUGCGUCUUUGGGAAACAUUCGUACCCAUUCCGAACACGACAAUAAAGACUUAGACGGCCGAUGGUACUUAGCUGGCAACGGCUUGGGAGAGCAGGUGGAUGCCGGGG